rnacentral:rRNA from 1 species
CCUACGGGGGGCAGCAGUGGGGAAUUUUGGACAAUGGGGGCAACCCUGAUCCAGCCAUGCCGCGUGUGUGAAGAAGGCCCUCGGGUUGUAAAGCACUUUCAGUGAGGAAGAACGCCUGGUGGUUAAUACCCAUCAGGAAAGACAUCACUCACAGAAGAAGCACCGGCUAACUCCGUGCCAGCAGCCGCGGUAAUACGGAGGGUGCGAGCGUUAAUCGGAAUUACUGGGCGUAAAGCGCGCGUAGGUGGCUUGAUAAGCCGGUUGUGAAAGCCCCGGGCUCAACCUGGGAACGGCAUCCGGAACUGUCAAGCUAGAGUGCAGGAGAGGAAGGUAGAAUUCCCGGUGUAGCGGUGAAAUGCGUAGAGAUCGGGAGGAAUACCAGUGGCGAAGGCGGCCUUCUGGACUGACACUGACACUGAGGUGCGAAAGCGUGGGUAGCAAACAGGAUUAGAUACCCGUGUAGUC